UCACAGCUUACGCUGGCAGUUUUAGUAGAGUUCUCAGCAUUAUCUGUUAGCAACUACUAAUAGGGGUUGCGCUCGUUAUGGGACUUAACCCGACACCUCACGGCACGAGCUGACGACAGCCAUGCAGCACCUAGACAGUUGUCUUGCGAAAGUCUCCUUUCGGAAACGGUCAACUGUCUUUCAAGCCCAGGUAAGGUUCCUCGCGUACCAUCGAAUUAAACCACAUACUCCACCGCUUGUGCGGGCCCCCGUCAAUUCCUUUGAGUUUCAGUCUUGCGACCGUACUCCCCAGGCGGCGAACUUAACGCGUUAGCUUCGACACUGAGAGCCUGAUUGCUCCCAACGUCCAGUUCGCAUCGUUUACAGCGUGGACUAC
rnacentral:misc_RNA from 1 species